UACGUAGGCGGAAAAUUUAGUCAGUGGUGAAAUCCCGCAGCUUAACUGUGGAACUGUCAUUGAUACUGGUUUUCUUGAAUUUAGUUGAGGUAGGCGGAAUGUGUAAUUUAGCGGUGAAAUGCUUAGAUAUUACACAGAACACCGAUUGCGAAGGCAGCUUACUAAGCUAUGAUUGACGCUGAGGUACGAAAGCGUGGGGAGCGAACAGGAUUAGAUACCCUGGUAGUCC
rnacentral:rRNA from 1 species